UUUGCAUGUGGCUAAAAGCCAGAAUGAAAAUCGCCGCAGAGAUGGGAAUUCUUAGGAAAUUCCCCACAAACAAAGGCGAGGGAUGGAAAAUAAUACAUUUGCCAGAUCAGUGGCUUCAUUCCACAUACCCAAGGCUAUGUUCAUCUGCUCUAGCAAAAAUGCCACAUCUGGUAGAGCAGCUGCAUUGGGGCUUGAUGGAAUGGCAGCCAUCUAAACUGCCAUCCUUCAGGAUCUGUCUGCUUUUUGCAGGGGUCAGACUGAUGACUUAAAUGGAGGAAAAGGAAGGCAGCUCAUUCUCUGAGCGUGGUUUCUGGACCAUCCACAUGAGAAGAAGAGCAGUCUGCACCAGCUCCUCUCCACAGACUGGAACAUCGGAAACCUUCACCUCUACUCUGCUGGAAUAUUCCUACAGCAAGUUUUUAAUGGUUCAAGCUAGUCAUGGUGUUUUCUUCUUGGCUUUCUUGUUCACCUGUUUCCAGCAUUGCAUAUUCUCAUAAUGUUUUGAUGUCUUUUGUUUUAAUUUUCCUGUUUUAAGUUGUAUUUUCCAUAUUGUAUUAAACAUCUUUUGAGGUAGCCUCCUAGGCCAUGAUCCCCUUCUUCUGAGAGUUGUUUCCCCUAAUCUCAAGUGAGAGCCUUGUUUGCCCUGUAAUUCUUUAUAGAUGUCCCAUGUAAUCCUUAACAAAACAAGUGCUCCUUAGUUUUAAAAAAUUUUUAUUAUUUAGUGUAGAGAGGGAGAGAGAGAGAAAACACAUGGGUUGGAGGAGGGAUAGAGCGACAAGCAGACUCCCUGCUGAUCAUCAUGGAGCCUGGAGUGGGGUUUGAUCCCAGGACCCUAAGAUUAGGACCUGAACCCAAGUCUGCUGCAUACCGACUGAGCCUCCCACAUUCCCCUCUACUCCCUAACUUAUCAAUUGAUAAACCCGGAUUUUCUUAUGGAGGUUUAACCUAUUAGUAGGAUAAAGCUUCUUACUAAUACUCACAAGAGGAUUGCCUUCAUGUUGGUAGUUAGAUAGACAGAUAUACAUAUAUACUCAUGUAUCUGUGUAAAUUCGUGUAUAUUACACAUAUUUGAAUGGGACCCACCAGUCCAUCUCACUGCUUGGCAGAGUGAGGGGAAACCCAGCUGAAACUGACAUAAGCACAAACAUGAAUUCCUGGGCUUCUGUAACUGAAACAUCAAGGGCAGACUUAGCUUCAGGAAUGGCUGAAUCCAGGCACUCACAAUACUUAACUAGGAAUCUGUAGCUCAGCUGUUUUCCUCUGUGCUCUCAGGCAGGCUUUCCUGACCUAACAAGUCCCAGCAGCCCCAGGCUUACAUCCCACUGGCUGGAAACUUUGGUGAAAACAGAGCCAAAAUGGGUGGUAGGGUCUCACUGAGAUGACUUGGUUCAUUUUCCUAACUCUGCUCCCAACUACAAUCCCCUUUGGCCCUAUAGAAUGGGAAUGGAAAGGGGAUAGUUUUCUGCUAGAAAAUUACCAGAAGAAGGGAGGUGGAUGCCAAGUUGCCCACAGCAGGUGUCCUCUCUAAGAUUUCACUUCCCUUUCUGCUCCCUUGGGAUCUCUCAGUAGUGGACAAGCAUCUCCCGCUGGGGCCUGGGUUACCAAGUGCCCACUGAAUUCCCAACUCAAGACUGAAAGUGCCUUUUGAAAGUGAAACAAUGAGGUUGUUUCUUACGGAGCUUUAAAAAAAUACUUCCUCCUCCACUCCCCGCUUGAAUUUAAUCUUUUAUAUUUCCAUCAGAAAUAAUUUCUAGUGUUCUUUCAUCUGCAAAUAAGAGCUGAUGUUGUCUUUGUCUGCAUGUAUUAUUUAUCAUUCAAUUCAUGGUGUGUCUUUGUGGAUCAGCCUGUGGGUGUAUGUGCCUGAAUUUAAAUGAAAAUUUAUCUGUGUGGUCAAAGAACUCGUUUAGGAAAUCAUCUCCCAGAAGAGGCUGGGAAGGCAGCAGCUUGGCCUUGUGCUGGGUCUGUUGGAUCUCCAGGGGGCAGGGAGCACUUAUCAGCUCUAAGAUCAGCAGGCAGUGGGGAUCUAGAAGCAGUGAAGGCAUUUUAUGGAUCAAACACAGCCUCAGUUCAGCACGAUGAAGGGUUUCUCGAUUACAUGACGGCGAUGAUGGAGAGUGGAUGGUUAGCUUGCAUCUCACAACUGAUGAGAACUCACUGUCCAUUCUCUUGCUUCAUGGUUUAUAAUUUCUCCAAAAGGAACAAUUGCAAGGAGAAGGAGCUGAAAUAUAAUUCACUAAUUCUUUUCUACUUUUAAGUGGUUAUGGGUUUUUGUAGUUUGUUGGUAGGAAUUGAAGGCACUGUUUGCACAAAAAAUAAAAAAAUAAAAAAAAAGCUUGACAGCAAGUAGCCAGCUUCUGAAAAUAAUAUUCUCCCGACCCUCAUCAAAGGGCUUCUAUCCCCAUGGCAACAGGCAAACUCAUGGAUGGAAGCUGGAGUGACAAGCAUCUCAGAGACCUUUCGCUCACUCUGCGGACCCUUGGUUUGGUUUUAUUUGUCCCGGCUGGAAACCAUCCAGAGGGGCAGCCGUUAACAGCCCAUGCCCUUGGCACUGCAGGCUAAAUGCAGAGGCGCCCAGACUUUACCUUGAUAAAUCCCUGAGUGCAGAGCUUCUCUUUGGAUGCACCUUUGAAGCAAUUUUACUAAAAGGCCAGAUGCUUUUUUAAAAGAAUCACAAGUUGGACAUUUUCCUUUACUCUGGUUGAAAUGAAAUUUUUAGGCAAAACUCCACAAAGCGGGUUCGGUUACUUUCCCUUCCUUCUUCCCUUCCCCAAAUAUAAACGGAGUGAAUGAAAUACAAGCCGAGCUGCUGCCAAACCGGAGAGACCAGGGUCGGGCAUGAAUAGCGACAACACGUGAAGGCGUGGCCGGCGUGCUCCCCACAGCCUGGUGGCACACACGACAAUUCAUACCGGGCAUUGUGGCCUAAUAAACUGGAAGGAAUGUCAAACAACAAGAAUUCCCUUUGUGACUCUCAUUCAAGAACGCAUUUCCACAUCAAACAAGUCUGUAGAGUAUUGUGCCUUGUGUGUGUUAUUGGACAGGCUGUCCCUAUAAAUGCUCCCGGCACCUGUGCUGUAUGUGAGUGACGACCCCACAAAUAGGAUUGCUUUUCCUUAGCCCCUUUGUUUCCUUUCUUCCUCCUGCCCCUCCUGUCUUCCUUUUGUACUUUUUAGAGACUAUCUUUUGUCCCUUACUUCAUGGUGACUUAUGUUCAUUCUUGAUGAAGAACAUCCUCCCCUUAAAUUUCACCACAGAGAAAUGUUGUAGAUUUCAGAACGACUCACUCCCGGCUCAGGGUGUGGAGUAUGUUCCUGAUGGGAACCCCCUUUCGGCGCUGGGAGUGCUUGUUAUCUUUUCUCCUUCGGGGGACAGGGCUCACAGACAGCCUUUUCUUUGUUGCACGAACACACAUUUCUUGGAUGUCAGAUGGGCUGUGCCUUCUAGAGCCCCCAUCAGGUGCCAUAGAGUUGGGUGGUUGUGGUCAAGAGUGUAGACAGAGUGUUCGGGCUACCAGGGUUCAAGCUAUAGCUCUGCCAUGGACACAUGGUGGUACUUUGGCAAAUCAUUCCUCUCUGUGCCUUCAUUUGCUCCUCUUUGAAACAGGGACAACAUACGCCAUAGGGCCAUUGUGAAAAUUCUGCAUUGACUUACAUCAAGAAUCCAGAACAGUGCUUGGCACUGGGUAAACUACACAUUAGGGGGAGCUGUUAUUAGAGAGGGUUAGUACGGUGGCUAACAUCUUUUAAAUGUCUAUUAGGAACCAAGGAUUGUGCUAAGUAAGGGUUUCAUAGGAAUUUUCACAUCUAAUCUACACAAAGCCCCGAGGGGUACAUACUCUUACUACUGUGGUCUUGCAGAGGAAGAAACUCAUUAUCUGAUGUCCGUUGGUGAACUAGUAGCAGAAACAAGGUAUUCACCUGGUUCUGUGUGGUACUGAGGCACAUACACUUAGUGAUUGCAAGUGGGUCCUCCCCAUGAAUGUUGGUGUGCUCACACCUCUCAGGUUCCCAGCCUGGGGAAAGCUUGGCUAAUUUCAGAGAAGGAUCCAAAGCCACAUUAAGGGAGUUGAGUUGGUAGUGUCUUGAAAGGGUCCUUCUCCUCCCUGAAAAUCCAGCCCUCCGUUCUAGUAAAAUCAUUUUGGUGGUCAUCUGUGAGGACACCGAAAGUAAAUGAGUCCAGAACACAAAUUCUGAUGAGAGCGAGAAGGGGCAGGAAUAGGGGCUCUCCACAGGGGAGAGCCUGGGCAGGUGGGAGUACUUGAAGGUGGCAAACACCUGAGAUUGUCUGGGAGCUCGUGCAUGAAGAAGAUGUCAGACAACAGAACCAUUGAGAAUCACUUUUGUUUUAUAGCUUUGCUUAGUUCUGGCAUUGGGUACCCCAGGAAAGUUCUGGGAGCCAAUGUCUCUUGUCCUCAUGCACCAAAUCUCAGCCUUGCACGUGCCAUCUAUUCUUUGGGGGUAUUUGGUACUGUUGUUGUGUUAAAUUUCACCCUGUUAAAAUAACUUCUGUACUAAUUUUAAAAAACCCUCCUGGGAAAUUGGGCUGUCUAAAAAUUGAAGCUGCCUUUUGUUCUUUCCCUCUUUAGCAUGCAUAUUCUGGCUAACAGAUAACCAAACCCCAGCCUCUCAAUAAACUCAGUGGACCGCUCUGUCUAGAAAUGAGUAUCUCUGUAUUUAUAGGGAGCCAUCCCCUACCCCUCACCUUUUAUGCCAUUUGUAGGUCUGUCUCAAUUCACAAAGGAAACAUUGCAUUCUCUUUUUCUAAUGGACAAUGGCAAAGGAUACUGGCUAUUGCCAAAGCAUUUUCAGAUGCCCGGCAAUGAGGCAGGUUGGUUUUCUGGACACCAGACUUCUGUUCAAGGUCUUGGCCCCAUCUUCCUUGGUGCCCUCCAGUCACGUUACCUCCACAGAAUAGGCUCCAACUGUCAUGCUUCUACAUUUAUCUGCUAUUCCCGUGAGCAUGGCAUGAAGAUGAGUCUCAUUUUUCCCAACUGUAAAAUGAGUCCAACAGCAGUAACCAGUGCACAGACCUUCGGUGAGGAUUAAAUAAUAAAACACAGAGCAUCUCAUCCAGGAGGAACGUCUCAUCCCGGAGGAGCAUCUGUCCCAGAGGAGCAUCUCAUCCCUUAGGAACAUCUCGUCCGGGAGGAGCAUCCAUCCCAGAGGAGUAUCUCAUCCGGGAGGAGCAUCCAUCCCAGAGGAGUAUCUCAUCCGGGAGGAGCAUCUGUCCCAGAGGAGUAUCUCAUCCGGGAGGAGCAUCUGUCCCAGAGGAGCACUCAGUGAACAACAGAUAGUAUUCUCCCUCCAGUCUUGUUGGAUCCUGGUCGUGUGUCCUCUUAAGUGCCACAGUUAUAAAAAGGUAUAAACUCUUUCACCGUGGACACACAAGGAGAUUAUCACAAGCAUGCUGCUGGAAACCAGCCUUGGCCACAUCUGCUGUCUGUGACGUUGUUGGUGCUCACCACACCAUACCUCGCCUCAGUGAGCACGCAGCACAGCCUGUCAUCCACAGAUGAAUCAGUCUGUGCAGCCUCAAGUCUCUGAGCACCCACGAGAUUGUCAGCAGGGAGUAUCUGCAGCUGCCUCGUGCAACAGAAAAGGGAAAUGUUGAGAAACAGGAAUCUGGGGCAGUUUCUGCUUUGAAUUUGGGCCUGAAGCUAAUUUAAAAGGCUGCCAGAAAUCUGGAACCACUUUGCUGGCUGGAAAUUGUUGGUGAAAGUGCAGAAAAGAGUGUUUCCUUUUUCUCGAGGCCAGUUUGUAACAUCCUGGAAACGGCCCUUGGAUCCCAAAGUCUCUGCUCCCUGUGCGCUGAUGUCUUCAUUGGGGCCAUGUUCUCUUUGUCGGGCUGUCUUCUCCCCCAGAUUGAAGUUAACCUCAACCUCAUUACCUUCCUUCAAGUCUUGCCUGUUAUCCCACCACGCCAUCCCCCAGUAACUGGAACAGUGUUGUCAAUCUUCUCCUUCAUUCUGGCUCCUGGAAUUCAUUACCAGCCUUUCCCCCUUCCCCAGAGAUGACCUGAAGACUCACCAGCAUCAAAAUGAUCUUCCUCCAAAGUGCUUAUUAAAUGACUCUUUACAUGCAGUGCUGAGCUGGGCAAAGCACCAAGUCAGUUCAGGGAGCAAGGUCCAUGCUCCUCGGGGUGUUGCCCUUCUGUAAACAACAACAUGGAUAGAAUGCUCAAGACUUUUGGUUUAGGGGAGCUGGCUGGCUCAGUGGAGCGUGCGACUCUUGAUCUCAGACUUUUGAGUUCGAGUCCCAUGUUGGAUAUGGAGAUUAUUUAAAAAUAAAAUAAA